rnacentral:rRNA from 1 species
UACGUAGGUGGCAAGCGUUGUCCGGAUUUACUGGGUGUAAAGGGCGCGUAGGCGGGCAUGUAAGUCAGACGUGAAAUACCGGGGCUCAACCCCGGGGCUGCGUUUGAAACUGCAAGUCUUGAGUGCCGGAGAGGAAAGCGGAAUUCCUAGUGUAGCGGUGAAAUGCGUAGAUAUUAGGAGGAACACCAGUGGCGAAGGCGGCUUUCUGGACGGUAACUGACGCUGAGGCGCGAAAGCGUGGGGAGCAAACAGG